UUGAAUUCGCAAAGGAGGAGAGAGGGGGGCGGAUCUUUGACCCUGUUCCUCUCUUUCCUUCAUACACACACACCUUGUGCACCUGUUGUAGGUUGCCCUCGAAGAGAGGGGGACCUAUGUUCUUUUACAUCACACCUUAUCGUAUGUUCAUAGAAUGUAUUGGAAUGGGAAAUGAUAUA
rnacentral:misc_RNA from 1 species